GCAUGGUAUCAUUUGGCACGCUGAAACCUGUAAUCAACACCCACAUCGGUGUUUCCCAAGCAAACUGUGCCUAAUCCAGUGGGGAUGGAGCGCUUCCAUGGGUAAAGGCGCAGAUGGGCAGCACAGCAUCCCCCACAGCUGGGCACAGAAGCAGCUCAGGUGUACAGCGCUGCAGGGUAGACGCAGCAGCGCAGCUGCCCACGGUUCCUGUUUCUCCUUUGCCACUCACCUAGAGUGCAAGAGUCCCGGCACAACAGAGCCAGACUCCCCUCACACCCAGCAGCGCGCACACACGCGCGCGCUGCUUGGGAAGCCGGGAAGGGGCGCAACACACACAAGAUAACAACAAAAAGUUAAGAAGCAACAAACGCGACAGAAGCGAGGAGCAGGAAAACAGGAGGCGGCGACGUGAAAACCGCUCAGCUCACGGCACGAGAGGACGCGGGCCGGGGGGAGCUGCAAGCCACAGGAAAGGGGCAGUAAGGUCCGGGACUACCGCCUGUGGCAACGGGCCGGAGACAGCGGGCGGAGAGCGGCGCCGCCAGCGCCCACGGGCCGCGUCGCUCAGGCCACCGGCCUGGUGGGGCCGCCCGCGCGACGCGACGCCGCCUCGCCUCCCAGCACGGCCACGGUGCCCCGGCGAGAUGGGCGGGCCCCUGACGUCACGCAGGAGACGCCCAGGCGGCGCGAGCACAUCCCAGAUCAGAGAUUCUCAAACUGUGGUCUGCAAGCUUCAUUCAGGCGGUCUCCAGAUAGUUCUCUGUAAGGUGUGCACCUGGGCGGCUACACACAAGAGACUGAAGGGCCGCCCAUCUAAUUAGUGGCUCCAAUUAGGUGCCUUGACCCUGGAGAAGAUGGACAUGUAAGGAAUGGGUGUUAAGAGAAGUGUGAAAGCCAUCACUGAACCAGCUGUUCUAGGGAGCACUGGAGACAGACGCAAGGGCACCAGGAGGCUGCAACACACCCCUAUAGAAAUGUCUGAGGAAGGCAGAUUGACGACUCUAAAGAUGAGACAGGCACCUAUCAAUGGGAACAAGAUAGCUGUGAUCAAAACCAGCCUGGGAUAACUCCCUGAGAGACUUGAUGAAAGAACAAGAUAAACGAUGAGCAAGACAAUUUAAGAAAACAAGCACUUGUCAAACAACAAUUGAUUAAAGCAUGAUGGUGCAAAACUCAUCAGUCCCAAUGAAGGAAAAUUACUAUAUAA